UGCGGAGGAGCGGGUGCCGCGGUGCUCGGCGGGAAGGCGGAGGAGCGGGUGCCCCGGUGCUCGGCGGGAAGGCGGAGGAGUGAUUCUUUCAGCAGGAGAGUGUCUGGAUGGUGGGGAUUUGCUGCCAGAAUUGGUUCCUUGAUGCCACACUCAGGUAACAUGCUGCCUUUUUGUUGGGACAAUCACUGUCACCUCACCUCUGGAAUUCAGCUUUUUCAUCCAUCUUCGGACCAAGGUUGAAGUGCAGUCUGGAGGGGAGUAGCCCUGGCAGAACCCAAACUGUGAACAAGUUAUUGCUAAAAUUCACUGAAUCUGAAGCAUCCAUGUUCUACUUCCAGUCAUCAAAGGACACAAGAACAAGAAAUAGCUAUUAAAAUGGAGUUAGUUAUCCUUAAUACCUACCACUCAUACCUACUACUGCUUCCUUUUUCUGUAUGUCUUUGGUGUAUGAGUUGGGGACAGCCUGCUGCACCCCACUCAAUGUUAUAGAUAUGUUCACAAUAACGUGAUUCAUACUGUCUGCAUACCCAGGUCACUUAGUUAUGUACCUUAUAAUGUAAAUGCAAAAAUAAAUCACUAGAUUUUA